rnacentral:lncRNA from 1 species
AAUGACGUCCGCAUCACUCUUUGGCAAACUUCAAGAACAUGAGUUAGAACUUGGUAAGCUUGAGAAACAUGAAAGUCAAGAAAAGAAAUCUAAAGGAAUUGCCUUGAAGGUAGACUCAAAAGAAGAUAAAGAUGAUGACGCAUUGGAGAAAGAUGAGAAUUUCAUGCUCCUUGUUAAAAGGCUUGGUAAGUUCUUUAACAAAAAUGAUAAAUCCUUUAACGCUAAAAAGAAUAGACAUUUCAGGAAAAAGGAG